AGAUGGUACAGCAAAAAAAAAAAAAAAAAAAAAAGCAGUGGCUGGAAUGGCCAGAUGAGACUGCUGGGGGCCAGCAGGACGGCUCACACAGAGUGUGAGAUAUUUGGGGUUUGGCAAACCCUAAGAAGCUGGCUGCCAAGCUCCACUGCCCCUUGUCCCCCUAGUGUAUUUCAAAGGAAAUUAAAUCCACAUGUUUCUGAUUUGCUGACACUUAAAGCUCAUCCAAAGGUGGUUUUGCAAGAGUGGUUUGGACCCAAGAAGCCUAGAGAAACUUUAAUUAUCAUUGCUUUUUUCAUUUUGAAAUGCAGACCUGUAUGCUUACAUAAUAAAUGCCAGGCCUACAAAAUCCGAGCCCAGUUCUGCUUUACCAAAACUUUUUGUCCUGGGCCCACCAGAAACAAUCAGUGGAGUCAACUAGAGAAGACAAACAGUGACUUGAAUACCUGAUCUAGACAUCCACCUGGAAAAUGGCACUCUCCACGGCCCCUUUGGAUUGGGCUGCAACAGAACUGCCAAAGCUAACGUUCAAAAAUAUGUGCACAGUGUGGCUUGCGCCUCUAGAUUCCAUUGUUUCCUCAGACUCUGACCAAGGAGACGAAAUGCUCAAUUCAAGGUGGUGUCCACAUAGGUCCUGGGAGCCCGGGUCCAGGAAUGUGAGGCAUGAGGCCUCAAGGACAAGAGGCCAUCACAAAGGUGUACUGUGGAAUGUCCUGAAAUGUCCUGCCACGUCCCUGGAUGAAAACUAGACAAGCAGGAACCCCAAUUCUGCUGCAGGGCAACAGAAUCACAUUAUAGAGUCAGAAAGAAUUAGCGCUCUGGACAUGACCUGUCCCCUCUAAAAGUCCAGUCACCUGGAACUAGUGGCCAGAGAGAUCGGGGACCAAGGGGGCUGCCUCUUCUCAACCAGGGAUUAACAUUUUCCGCUUCUCCCAUCCCUGCCUCUGGCCACUGCAUAGAGACUUUCCAGAAGGUUCGUCUCAGAGACGGCCCCCUUCACUGCUCUGAGUUGUCCUGACAGAGGUGGUGGCUUUGUUCUCUCUGGUUCCCACCUCCUUCCCCAGCCCGGGGCCAUCAACUGCUCCGGUGGCAGUUUACCCGCUGGUCUCUGCCACUGCAACUCCCCAGCGCCCAGCUCUGGGGUCUGGGGCAGUCUAAACAGGAGUGUUUCUGAGAAUGACAGGGGGCACGAUGAAUAAUUUUGCAGAGACAACAGGCAUAACCCAGGACUGUCCCCGGAGUGCAGUCUGGGACAUAGGACCACCGUCUGUGGUGAAGUUCAUUGCCCAACACUUCCCAUGCAAGGAUGCGUCGUACCUUCACUUCAAAUCCCUCUUUGUUUGUGUUCCCGACUUCCUUUCAUCUCCUCCCAAGGGAAGGAAAUAUUCCCAGUGGUGCGUCUCUCUGAGAUCGAACGACCAUUCUGGGUAUUUCCAAGUUCAAAUGCCUAGAAGGAAAAGGGAGGACGUCGGAUUGGUCCAGCUCAUCUUCUGAUGCCAUAUCAGUGGUCACUGUCAAGGCCUCUGGUCAGCUGCCCAUCUGUGGCCAGAGAGGAGCAAGAUGACAUGAAAGGUGACUGUUGAGGGCCAAUUCUCAGGACAAUACGAGGGGCAGGAACGCUUCCAGAACAGCAGCUCCCGAGCGAUAUGGUCGGCUUUUUUGUCUGCUUUCUUUCCUCUCUUUUGUCAGCAAAGAAUGCUGACCCUCUCUUGGCCCAGCCAUCUCUCACCGCUCACAACUCAAGUGAGUCCUGUCUCUGCUGAUGCUCGUGUUCAUGAGAAGCAAACCCACAUUCUCUUUUAGUCCCUUACUCUUUCCAUGCUCCUUUUCAACUCUUGCCAACUUGCCUCAGCAUUCUUUACCUCCCUCCUAGUGAGAAAUCUGACUUCAGAAGAAGAUAAAGUAACAGGCCAGAACCACAUUCAAGACAAGUCUAACUAGAGAACUUAGUACCAUGACAUUCUAAAGGGAAAGGCCAGCCACUCCAUCAUAAUCUUGACAAAUCCCCAUUUACCUUUUUCAUCACCUCCAAAUCAACCUUUCCUUCCACCACAGUACUGGCAUAAAUAAAAUACUAUCCCUGUGUUUUA